GAUGAACGCUGGCGGCGUGCUUAACACAUGCAAGUCGAACGGAGUUUACAUGAAACCUAGUGAUUGUAAACUUAGUGGCGGACGGGUGAGUAACGCGUGGGUAACCUGCCUUAUACCGGGGGACAACAGUUAGAAAUGACUGCUAAUACCGCAUAAGCGCACGGUGUCGCAUGACACAGUGUGAAAAACUCCGGUGGUAUAAGAUGGACCCGCGUCUGAUUAGCCAGUUGGUGAGGUAACGGCCCACCAAAGCAACGAUCAGUAGCCGGCCUGAGAGGGUGAACGGCCACAUUGGGACUGAGACACGGCCCAAACUCCUACGGGAGGCAGCAGUGGGGAAUAUUGGACAAUGGGGGAAACCCUGAUCCAGCGACGCCGCGUGAGUGAAGAAGUAUUUCGGUAUGUAAAGCUCUAUCAGCAAGGAAGAUAAUGACGG
rnacentral:rRNA from 1 species